UACGUAGGGGGCUAGCGUUGUCCGGAAUCAUUGGGCGUAAAGCGCGUGUAGGCGGCUCGGUAAGUCCGCUGUGAAAGUCGGGGGCUCAACCUCGGAUGCCGGUGGAUACUGUCGGGCUAGAGUGCGGAAGAGGCGAGUGGAAUUCCUGGUGUAGCGGUGAAAUGCGCAGAUAUCAGGAAGAACACCCGUGGCUAAGGCGGCUCUCGUAGU
rnacentral:rRNA from 1 species